rnacentral:rRNA from 1 species
UUCGACACACUAUCAUUAACUGAAUCCAUAGGUUAAUGAGGCGAACCGGGGGAACUGAAACAUCUAAGUACCCCGAGGAAAAGAAAUCAACCGAGAUUCCCCCAGUAGCGGCGAGCGAACGGGGAGCAGCCCAGAGCCUGAAUCAGUAUGUGUGUUAGUGGAAGCGUCUGGAAAGGCGCGCGAUACAGGGUGACAGCCCCGUACACAAAAAUGCACAUGCUGUGAGCUCGAUGAGUAGGGCGGGACACGUGGUAUCCUGUCUGAAUAUGGGGGGACCAUCCUCCAAGGCUAAAUACUCCUGACUGACCGAUAGUGAACCAGUACCGUGAGGGAAAGGCGAAAAGAACCCCGGCGAGGGGAGUGAAAAAGAACCUGAAACCGUGUACGUACAAGCAGUGGGAGCACGCUUAGGCGUGUGACUGCGUACCUUUUGUAUAAUGGGUCAGCGACUUAUAUUCUGUAGCAAGGUUAACCGAAUAGGGGAGCCGAAGGGAAACCGAGUCUUAACUGGGCGUUAAGUUGCAGGGUAUAGACCCGAAACCCGGUGAUCUAGCCAUGGGCAGGUUGAAGGUUGGGUAACACUAACUGGAGGACCGAACCGACUAAUGUUGAAAAAUUAGCGGAUGACUUGUGGCUGGGGGUGAAAGGCCAAUCAAACCGGGAGAUAGCUGGUUCUCCCCGAAAGCUAUUUAGGUAGCGCCUCGUGAAUUCAUCUCCGGGGGUAGAGCACUGUUUCGGCAAGGGGGUCAUCCCGACUUACCAACCCGAUGCAAACUGCGAAUACCGGAGAAUGUUAUCACGGGAGACACACGGCGGGUGCUAACGUCCGUCGUGAAGAGGGAAACAACCCAGACCGCCAGCUAAGGUCCCAAAGUCAUGGUUAAGUGGGAAACGAUGUGGGAAGGCCCAGACAGCCAGGAUGUUGGCUUAGAAGCAGCCAUCAUUUAAAGAAAGCGUAAUAGCUCACUGGUCGAGUCGGCCUGCGCGGAAGAUGUAACGGGGCUAAACCAUGCACCGAAGCUGCGGCAGCGACGCUGAUGCGUUGUUGGGUAGGGGAGCGUUCUGUAAGCCUGCGAAGGUGUGCUGUGAGGCAUGCUGGAGGUAUCAGAAGUGCGAAUGCUGACAUAAGUAACGAUAAAGCGGGUGAAAAGCCCGCUCGCCGGAAGACCAAGGGUUCCUGUCCAACGUUAAUCGGGGCAGGGUGAGUCGACCCCUAAGGCGAGGCCGAAAGGCGUAGUCGAUGGGAAACAGGUUAAUAUUCCUGUACUUGGUGUUACUGCGAAGGGGGGACGGAGAAGGCUAUGUUGGCCGGGCGACGGUUGUCCCGGUUUAAGCGUGUAGGCUGGUUUUCCAGGCAAAUCCGGAAAAUCAAGGCUGAGGCGUGAUGACGAGGCACUGCGGUGCUGAAGCAACAAAUGCCCUGCUUCCAGGAAAAGCCUCUAAGCAUCAGGUAACAUCAAAUCGUACCCCAAACCGACACAGGUGGUCAGGUAGAGAAUACCAAGGCGCUUGAGAGAACUCGGGUGAAGGAACUAGGCAAAAUGGUGCCGUAACUUCGGGAGAAGGCACGCUGAUAUGUAGGUGAAGUCCCUCGCGGAUGGAGCUGAAAUCAGUCGAAGAUACCAGCUGGCUGCAACUGUUUAUUAAAAACACAGCACUGUGCAAACACGAAAGUGGACGUAUACGGUGUGACGCCUGCCCGGUGCCGGAAGGUUAAUUGAUGGGGU